rfam:Picea glauca, whole genome shotgun sequence.
AUAUGCCUACAACAUAGCAUUAAUGCAUUGAAUCCCAUUAGAACUCUGCAGUUAAGUGUGCUCGAGCUAGAGUAGUACUAGGAUGGGUGACUGCUUGGGAAGUCCUAGUAUUUUACAUGCC